AAUUUGUUUUACAUCUGGCAACUACGCAUACGUCUUCCCUGCCUGUCAUUCUUUCCCUUUCAGUUAAUGUCGCCUGCUAUUUUGGCUCAUGUCGUGACAGUCAGUCUUUGAUUUAUUAAGCUCUGUCUAGAGUCUCUUUGAUCGUGAAAUACGAUUUUAUUGUGUGUGUUUCAUCUUUCAUCAAGCCUGAACAGAUUUCAGCCUGUGUUCUUUCCUUUCUUUAAGGCUAAUUGACGUGAUAUCGUCUAUGUACAUGCGGUCCCAGAUACUUGUUUCAUAUAUCCAGUUCAUGUGUGUGUCACCCGAUAAGCUUCCUUGCUUAUAAGGUACCUCACACGUAUACUCUGUACACAUCAACACCUGACCCUGUACAUAUUCCAUCGCUCUCAUUUUAUUCACCACUCAUCGACUUUAAUACAUUGGAUGUUAGAGAGAGAGAGAACGAGCAUCCAUCAAUCACUGGUUCCAACAUUUAGAGGGAACAUUUGGUCCUUCGAACCGGAGACAGCAAUCUUGUUUCCAGUCACUUUCCGGUCGUUCAAGUCGACACGUCCAGUUCAUCUAGUCAACAACUCUUGUUGGCCUAGUCAUCUUCAAGUC